CUCGUGUCACCAGUUCAAA
rnacentral:tRNA from 1 species